ensembl:lncRNA
CAGUGAUCUGGGGCUGGGCCCUGGGGUACACCUGCUGCCCAGGCCUGAAACUGGGGGUCAGCCCAGGCUCCCCCUCCCUCUCCAACCCGCCCAUCCAAUGAGUCACAGGGUUCUAGAACCUCCCUCUCAGAUAUUUGCGUCGAUUACCAAUAUCACUGUCUUAUUUCAGGCUUCUUUCAUUUCUCAUUACACACACUGUGGAAGACACCUGGCUGCUAAUCUCUUCCUUCUCCUCCGAUCCUUCACAGCACACCCAGCCUCACAAGCUGAACGUUCUCUCCUGAUGGUGAAACCUCACACGAUGCCCUUGUCAUCCAAGGGAAGUCCAGGCCUGGGCACAUUCAGAGCCCCCACCUCAGCCCUCACCAGUCCUGGGCUCCAGCUGGGCCCCCAACCCUCUAGUUCCAGGGUGUACUCUGACCCUCGUGUCUUUGCACACGCCAUUCCUUAUAUCCAGAACUCCCUUCCCAACCCCAGUUAUUCGGCUCGUAUUCACUGAGCACCUGUUACGUCCAGGCACCAUUCUAUGCACCAGGGAUACGGUGUGGAACUUGAAUUUUGGUGGGGUAACUGACAGUAAGCAACUCAGAGUGCGCCAGGUGUUGGCGAGCACUACGAUGAGGAGAAUGCUGGAGAACGGGAACACACCUGGGCAGGGUGAGGACCGAGGGCAAGGAGGAGUCAGCCAUAAGGAGACUAAAGAGGAAAGACGUUCCAGGUGGAGGAAAGAGCCCACGCCGAGGCCCCUAAGCAGGAGAGAAAAAGAAGGCCAGUGAAAGGAGAGCGUGGCCAGGGGCUGACAGCCAGGCUUCCUGAGCCGGGCUCCCAGGUUGGGUCCUCUGGCGGGCAGACACUUCCUGCGGGAGACUCGGUGGAUGGUGGUGGAGACGGGAAGAUACGCAGAAUGUGUUCUGGAGGCAGAAGUGAUGAGACUCGCUGCCAAACUGGAUAAGAAGAUGAAGAAAGGGAUCCAGAAGGACUUCAGAUCUGAGGAGCUGCAGGCUGCCCACGCUCCUAUUUGAUGGACAGGAAACUGCAGGGUGCAGAGGAUAUGCAACUUACCCCAGGUCACCCAGUCAUUAAGUUGAAGAGCUGGCUCUUGAACCCAGGACUGCAUUGGAACAUUGACAAUAAUUCUACCUUAGAAAGAAAGAACGCAUAAAAGGACCGGGGCAUCUAUUUUUAGCAGCAGUAAUUUCACAGGUAUCAGGGAACCAGACAGUGAACCGAAUCAACUGAGUCACCUUUCGGGGGUGACUCAUGUUCUGGAUCAAGGUCAACAAGGUUGACUCUCACUAAAAGAGAAGUAAAGCUCUAAAGUCUCCAGGAUUUUUUUUAAAUUUUUUUUUUUUUUUGAGGAAGAUUAGCCCUGAGCUGUUGCCAAUCCGCCUCUUUUUGCUGAGGAAGACUGGCCCUGAGCUAACAUCUGUGCCCAUCUUCCUCUACUUAUAGCUGAGACACCUACCACAGCAUGGCUGGCCAAGUGGUGCCAUGUCUGCACCUGGGAUCUGAACUGGGGAACCCCGGGCCACCGAAGUGGAACGUGUGCACUUAACUGCUGCACCACUGGGCUCACCCCCCAGGAUUUUUUGGUUUUUUUAAGGAAAAAGAAACAAACGAACAAAAAACAGUCACAUCUCUGGUCUUUUAAAAAUAGCUUCAGGGUCAGAUAGAUGCAGUCAGCAUUUCUAACCAUCCAUUUGUCACGUGCACAUGAAUCUUCAGGUCUCAGUCAGACAGAGGUGCUCAGCUGUUUUGAAAUGAGGUGGUAAGAAACACCACCAUUCCGCUUGUAGACACACAGCGUAAGCCGCUGUUUGCAAAGGGCCACCCAGACCAACGCCCUUCAGUAAGUUUCUCCCACAGUCUCGUGUCUCCGUCUAGAAAUCCAGAACGACGGCUGUCGGCUCCCUCUCGCCUGUCCCGGAAUGAGCACAGCUCCCGUCAGAGACGAAGCUAGAUCCCCUUGAUGUGUGGCCCCUGCACGGGAAGGAGGAUACUGACUGCUUCCAGAGUCCAUCUUCCUUGUGCUGAGAGGACAGGGGCUGAUGCGGCCGCUGCGCGCCUGGGGCCCACCCUGUGUCUGGGUCCCUGGGAGAGGCAGAGACGCUUGCCCUCGUGCCUCACAGUCCUGAGCACACAUGAGUCUCAGAGCAUUUGCCACUUGGGUUGAUGGUUCACGUCUAUUUCCCCAAAGAGGGAGCCAGUUCCUCGAGGGCAGGGACCAUGUGGUAUUCAUCUGUGCAGUCCCAAAGCCUGGGCAUGACCGGCACGUACGUCAUAUGCUGACGGCAGGGAGGGAAAAAAAGGCGAGACAGCCAAGAGAUGGACCUGACCCAUAGGCCCACAUACCUCACUCUUUAUAGACUAAGCUGCUCAUCAACUGAUUCACUCACUCGUCCAGCACAGGCUGCGGAGCAUCACUCCUCUGCUUCCUGCUCCCUUUCAGCUCAUCCCCCCUGCACACACUUGUCUCCCUUCCCAAACCUUCUAACCGAAGCUCCGUGCUCUGGCUUAACCCCUCCCCAUUAGGAGAAAAAGCAGAUUAAGGGCUGACCCUUAACAAACUCCACCCUACACACCCGAAACACUCCCAGAGCAGCUCGUUUGCAAGGUCACGGACUUUGCUGUCAGAUCUGGUUCCAACACCCACUCCCCCAGCUCCUAGCCUUUAUGACCUCACAGACGGGAUGGAUCAUUCCUAAAAAGCAGGGUGGCCGUGCGGAUCAGACCACAGCUGAGGGCAGACACUUGCCCAAUCCCAGCUGUCCUCCUUCACCCCAGUGCACGGCCUUGGGGAGCUGGGGGCCAUCUUUCUCUACCAAAGGGAUGCCACGGUGCAGAUUUUAAAGGAACCGCACCCCUCAUCUCCUUUCAUAAU